ACUCCUACGGGAGGCAGCAGUGGGGAAUAUUGCACAAUGGACGAAAGUCUGAUGCAGCAACGCCGCGUGGAGGAUGACACAUUUCGGUGCGUAAACUCCUUUUAUAUAGGAAGAUGAUGACGGUACUAUAUGAAUAAGCACCGGCUAACUCCGUGCCAGCAGCCGCGGUAAUACGGAGGGUGCAAGCGGUUACUCGGAAUCACUGGGCGUAAAGAGCGUGUAGGCGGAUAGAUAAGUCAGGAGUGAAAUCCUAUGGCUCAACCAUAGAACUGCUCUUGAAACUGUCAAUCUAGAAUGUGGGAGAGGUAGAUGGAAUUUCUGGUGUAGGGUAAAAUCCGUAGAGAUCAGAAGGAAUACCGAUUGCGAAGGCGAUCUACUGGACAUAAUUGACGCUGAGACGCGAAAGCGUGGGAGCAAACAGGAUUAGAUACCCUGGUAGACUGUCAU
rnacentral:rRNA from 1 species